AGAGUUUGAUCCUGGCACAGGACGAACGCUGGCGGCGUGCCUAACACAUGCAAGUCGAACGAGGUCCAACCGGUAGCAAUACCGGUGAAGACCAAGUGGCGAACGGGUGAGUAGCACGUGAGCAACCUGCCCCGAAGACCGGGACAACACCGGGAAACCGGUGCUAAUACCGGAUAUCCCCACCGAGUCGCAUGGCUUGGUGAGGAAAUGGAUUCCGCUUCGGGAGGGGCUCGCGGCCUAUCAGCUUGUUGGUGAGGUAACGGCUCACCAAGGCUUCGACGGGUAGCUGGUCUGAGAGGACGAUCAGCCACACUGGGACUGAGACACGGCCCAGACUCCUACGGGAGGCAGCAGUGGGGAAUCUUGCACAAUGGGCGAAAGCCUGAUGCAGCAACGCCGCGUGAGGGACGAAGGCUUUCUGAGUUGUAACCUCUUUCAGCAGGGACGAUUGUGACGGUACCUGCAGAAGAAGCCCCGGCCAACUACGUGCCAGCAGCCGCGGUAAUACGUAGGGGGCAAGCGUUGUCCGGAUUUAUUGGGCGUAAAGAGCUCGUAGGCGGCUUGGCAAGUCGAAUGUGAAACCUCCAGGCUCAACCUGGAGAUGCCAUUUGAUACUGCCAUGGCUAGAGUUUGGUAGGGGACCACGGAAUUCCUGGUGUAGCGGUGAAAUGCGCAGAUAUCAGGAGGAACACCAGCGGCGAAGGCGGUGGUCUGGGCCAAUACUGACGCUGAGGAGCGAAAGCGUGGGGAGCGAACAGGAUUAGAUACCCUGGUAGUCCACGCCGUAAACGUUGGGCACUAGGUGUGGGGACCUAUCGACGGUUU
rnacentral:rRNA from 1 species